rnacentral:rRNA from 1 species
UACGUAGGGCGCAAGCGUUGUCCGGAAUCAUUGGGCGUAAAGAGCUCGUAGGCGGCCUGUCGCGUCCGCUGUGAAAUCCCGGGGCUUAACCCCGGGCGUGCAGUGGAUACGGGCUGGCUGGAGGCAGGCAGGGGAGAACGGAAUUCCCGGUGUAGCGGUGAAAUGCGCAGAUAUCGGGAGGAACACCGGUGGCGAAGGCGGUUCUCUGGGCCUCUUCUGACGCUGAGGCGCGAAAGCUAGGGGAGCAAACGGG